UAAAAACCGCGGGUGGAAUUGAGUCCACCAAUCCACUAUUUGAGAAGAUUACAACUUAUAGCUAGCAGCUAGCAGCUUAGAGCUUGUACUAAAUACACUUAAGAAUAUUGUAAAUGUAGAAGAGAGAAAGAAUGUAAGUGAAAGCAAUGUAAAGACUUAUCUUGUACAGAGUAUUAUUCCCUUCUAUUUAUACUAAUACAAUUGUAUAACGUUACUCCUCAUUUGAACGUUGCAUAACUAACUUCCCUACGAAAGUGCCACAACUCCUAGAAUCUAGGGAGAUCUCUUCUUCUGCUGGCUAACCACUUCCUCCUAUUUCUUUGGCUUAACGUCACUUAUUUUGACUUGGUCUUGAUCAGUAUCCAAUGUUCUUUCAACCGAAUUUAUUCAACUCCCUUCGUCUCUGCUUGCUGUAGCUGCUACCUGAUAAUCUCUAGCUGGGACAGAUGCAUAACCUGCAGGUUCAGCUUAGGAAAUUUUUAGGACAUAACAGUGAGUUAUUUUCAAAACCCCCCACACUUAUGUCAGACGUUUCCAAUAAGAAUUUCUGGCACAAAAACAUCCAUCAGCAUAACCGAGAUCACUGGAAGCAGCAUGAAACUCAUUUUCUUCCAAGGGAAAUCUUCCAGCCUCUACGACUUAGACUAAUAUCAAUCAUCUCAGGCCAAGGUUAAUUGAUGAUCAAAUUCAUAAUUGUCACUUUCUUAGCUUCACAAAUUAAUGCUCCUCUUUGUAUUCAUUUUUUAACUCAAGUUGUUCACUUUUUUUUUUUGUCAAUUGAGGUUAAUUUGAUGUGGUUCUUUUUUAAUAUUUAAUUUUUUUUUUUGUUAAUUCUGUGAACUUGGCAUCCGAAAAUUUGGAAAUUUGAGGUUCUAGAAUCGUCGUAUUGUUCAGCAUGCAUGGAUCAAUUUCAUUUUACUUGUGGUUUUCCUCUUUCUGGACUAUUUCUUUGGCAAACACUAAUAUGCAUUUCGAUUUUUUUAUUUGCAUAAAGGUUUGUGUUACUCUGGAGGAUUUUCAUUUGUCACGGAGAGGAUUUUUUAUGACGGCUAACAUUAUUAUUUACUAUUGAGGAUUUUUUAUUUGAGGAUUUUUUGGAAUUUAAGGGUUUGUUGUUGUGGUGGUGGUCUGAAGCUUUGGAUUUACAUAGUAGUAUUAUUUCGGUUGUGUGUGUAGUUCAAUCACAAUUUCUAUGGUAAUGCAACUCCACCUCGAAAUAUUGUGUUUUUUUUUUUUUUGAUAAAUUUGCAUGUCUACUCAUCUCUAUUCUAUAUGUAUAUGUAAAGAGGAUAGGACACUAAAAUAUUAAAACUCCAAUUCUACCCUCACAAAAUUAAACAAAUUACAACAAAACCUUUCUAAGAAAAGAAAAGAGAAUAUCAAAGCAGUUCAACGACAGUUUCAAAACUAAAUUGUAUUUCACUUCUGAACCACUCUAACUUCCAACGAUCCAUUGUAGUUCCACAAAAUGUUGCCUUCCCAGUUCUUCCUCCUCUCUCCUCUUCCUCUCCACUCAUUCAUUCAUCUACGCAUAAUAUCCGAUUUCUCAUAUAAUAAAAACAUCAAAAGAAAUUUAAAGAAGAACCCAAAAAGGGUUAAUUUUUACUUCUUUUUUUUUUUUUCCUAAGAGAGGCUUCUUCCAUAUUCUAAACAAAAACAGUUUUUAUAUGUAUUUUGUACCUUUUUUAGGGUUUUUGGAAAUUUAUCUGGUGAGUUUUAUUGUUCAAUUAUUUGAUUUAUGAGUUUAAAUCAAUUUAAUUGAAUUUGAUGGUGGUAUUGGGAAUUUUUUUCUGUUUCAUUUGCUUUUGAUGUAUCUGGGUAAAUUUGAGGAUAGGAGUUAAGGAGUAGAGAAGAGAGAAAGAUUGAUUUUUUUUUUUUUUUUGGAAAUGUACGUGAUUUACAUGCGACGUACGAGGAUCCUUCCAAAGUGAUCGAAGCAGAUAUUUAGCAUGCUAAUACUCUGUCUUUAUCAUCAAUUUCAAUAAAGAAGUAAAAUAAUUGACAGUCAUGGAAGCUUACAAGCUCAUUGGUACCUAGUUUGUUAUUGAAAGGAGAAUCUAGUGCGUAUUGUGUUGCAUUCAUGUUUUGGAGGUUUGAAGAUGAUGCAUCAUGGGUUCGGGAAAUUGGAGAGCUUGUGUUGACUUUAUAUUUUAUAGUUGACUUUAUACUUUUCUAGUUGGCUUUUGACUUUUGACUUUACGUUGUGUUGACUUUUGGACUUAACUAAGUUUUAUUUCUAAAGUUAUUUACUAUUAUUUCCGCUGUAAAAUUUUGAAUCAGCCGAUACGUUAUCAAACGGGCGAUAAUACUUUGAUAA